GACGAACGCUGGCGGCGUGCUUAACACAUGCAAGUCGAACGAAGUGGCGAACGGGUGAGUAACGCGUAAUCAACCUGCCCUUCAGAGGGGGACAACAGUUGGAAACGACUGCUAAUACCGCAUACUGAAGGAGGGGAUUGCGUGUGAUUAGCUAGUUGGAGGGGUAACGGCCCACCAAGGCGAAGGUCAGUAGGCGGUCUGGGAAGAGGGACGGGCACAAUGGGAAUGGGACACGGCCCAAGCUUCUACGGGAGGCAGCAGUGGGGAAACUUCCGCAAUGGAGGAAAGUCUGGAGGAGCAACGCCGCGUGAGUGAUGGAGGCCUUCGGGUUGUAAAGCUCUGUUAAUCGGGACGCGGUACCGGAAUAGAAAGCCACGGCUAACUACGUGCCAGCAGCCGCGGUAAUAC
rnacentral:rRNA from 1 species